GUCUCAAUAGCUCAGUGGUUAGAGCAGGGCACGGUACGCCAGACGCCCUAGGUUCGAGUCCCGGUUGAGACU
rnacentral:tRNA from 1 species